UACAGAGGUCUCGAGCGUUAGGCGGAAUCACUGGGCUUAAAGCGUGUGUAGGCGGAUUGCUAAGUACCUUGUGAAAUCCCACGGCUUAACCGUGGAACUGCUUGGUAUACUGGCUGUCUUGAGCCACUUAGGGGCGACCGGAACAAACGGUGGAGCGGUGAAAUGCGUAGAUAUCGAGAGGAACACCUGCGGCGAAGGCGGGUUGCUGGGCUGACACUGACGCUGAAGCGCGAAAGCUAGGGGAGCGAACGGG
rnacentral:rRNA from 1 species